ACGGGAAGGGGGAAAAAUUGAUUUGACUAUGAGACGGACGCCGGGUCACGUUUCUCUCGGGUUAAAUUGGCAGUAUUUUAUUUUGAUAUGCUUCAGGUUACAAACAUUAAACCAUUUAACACAAUCACUCCUUUAAACUGCGACUCCACUAGCAAAGAUUUUUUGCCGCAUGCUCGUAAUAAAAAUGUUAAGCUGUAAAGCAAACCGCAUAUUGAAUUACUAGUAAGAGAAAAACAAUCAUAAAUGUUCAUGCCUCUUUGCUGCCCCUUUUUUUCUCCACAGAAAUCAAAUUGUACGUGCUUAGCAGACUAAAAAAUUCAAGGGUGAGAGGGGGUUUUAUCAUUUCAGUUCACAUUUUUAUUUCACGUUGUGUCUUUUGCUUGCAGAGCCUAUUAGUGAGAUGCUAAAGUUUGGCUAAUGAAGCUCAGAGGACCAAUAUUAUCAACCCGAGCAGAGCCAAUGAAAAGGAGGAGACGCCGCUGAUGUAGAUAAUCAUCUCGCACUGCGCGGGCGUGCGAGACGGGGACCAUGAUGUUUGCAAAGACUCAGUGGUCGUACAGCAUCGUAACUCACAGGCAUUAUUUAGGGGUGAAGAGAGACCUGCUCACAUUCGAGGCAUUGUUGAGUCAAAUUUGAGCAAUUUCUCCACAAGAAAUUCGUCCAUUUCUUUCAUGUGAGGAAGAAUUUUAAAUUGCUUUUCAUUUUUAUAUAGUUUGCAUUUUUACAGUUUUUCUAUAUUUAUCAUAUAUGUACAUACAUGUGUGGGGAUCUACUUUACGUGGGUUAUUUGUGUGCAUUUUAUCUGAACUGUCAAUCAUGUUGUAACUGUGCAUUUUAAAUGGUGUUGUACAAAUAAAAUUAAUAUUAUGUUGGAAA